GGCCCUCGAUAAAUAAGACUCCUCUGUCCCUCACGAGCCUCCACUGACGACCGUUGAGCUCAGUUCCUCCACUCUUUCCCUUGGAAGCCACGGCACUCUCUUCUUAUGUUUGUCAGAAAUUAAAAGUUCGAAGAGGCCAUCGGAGUUCAGGUAAGGGUUAAAUCUUUCUUCCUCUCCCUCUUUUCUUUCUUCCCAUGGUUUUAGACUCCUCGCUAGCCGUC
rnacentral:lncRNA from 1 species